rnacentral:rRNA from 1 species
UACGUAGGUGGCGAGCGUUGUCCGGAAUUACUGGGUGUAAAGCGCGUGUAGGCGGCAGGCCAAGUCGGUGGUGAAAGCGCCCGGCUCAACUGGGCGAGGUCCAUGGAAACUGGUCAGCUGGAGGACGGUAGAGGCGAGUGGAAUUCCCGGUGUAGUGGUGAAAUGCGUAGAGAUCGGGAGGAACACCUGUGGCGAAGGCGGCCCGCUGGGCAGUGGCUGACGCUGAAGCGCGACAGCGUGGGGAGCAACAGG